rnacentral:rRNA from 1 species
UACGUAGGGUCCGAGCGUUGUCCGGAAUUAUUGGGCGUAAAGGGCUCGUAGGCGGUCUGUCGCGUCGGGAGUGAAAACUCAGGGCUCAACCCUGAGCGUGCUUCCGAUACGGGCAGACUAGAGGUAUGCAGGGGAGAACGGAAUUCCUGGUGUAGCGGUGGAAUGCGCAGAUAUCAGGAGGAACACCGGUGGCGAAGGCGGUUCUCUGGGCAUGACCUGGCGCUGAGGAGCGAAAGCAUGGGGAGCGAACAGG